UUAAUUGAAGCCAAAAAGAGGCAUUUCAUUGUUAAUGAAAUUAUUGGUCAAUAACCCAAUUAAA
rnacentral:tRNA from 1 species